AUUCAUACAUAUCCGACGCGAUCCACCACUUAAUCCACCACCACCCGUUUGUCACCCGCUUCACCGCGAGUUUUAACCCAUUUAUUCGAAACGAGUGGGUGAAUAAUCCACCCACCCAGGAAUAAUUGCCAACUCUAUUGGUCGUUUCUCACAGACACAGCAACGAGAUUACGAACACAGCAAGUUGAGAAAGAUGCGUAAGUGUUUCCUUGGAAGUUGGAACAUUCCAACUUCGAUGGGUGAUGGACUGAUGGUUUCUUACUGUGACAUCAAACAACCCGGAUCAAGGUGGUUAUGGGCGUGGACACGUAGUGCUGUCACGUUAUGCUACGCUGUGCAUAUGCAAUCCAUAUGUAGAAAGCGCGAGACAAAUUUAUUAGGGUGAGACGCGCUGCACCCUUACUGCCUCAGCUUAUGCGUUGUUUUCCCCGAUGGUGGACCUUGAGAACAAGCCUCAUUAUGCUUUGUUUACGCUGGAUUAAAGUUGGUUCAGGAUCAUAAAGCAGGCAUACUUAAUAUGGAGGAUGCUGACAUCAUUAUUGAUCCCUUGAAUUUCAAUGCAAAGCAGUUCUUCCUUGAGCAUAGUUUACCUGUGCCUUAUUCUUAUAAUGGUGCAUGUUUAUGGUUACUCAAUGUACUUGUUAGAGUCGGCUGAUGGAUAUAUACUGAGAACUUAGUCACCAACUGAAGGGUCAAUGACACCGGCGUGCUGCCAAGACACGGGUGGAAUUCGAGCCGUCUUAACAGAGGUUAACCUUUUCAAUUCUAGUUGGACCCUUUAUUUCACCUCAAGCAUCUGCGUUAGUUUCUUUGUUACUUCAGCAUGGGUAUGAACAAUUGAACACUUAAGAAUUCAGAUUUUGAGUAAAUACAUGGAACGUGUCCUGAAAUGUGUUUACAUCACUACCUGUCUCCGAUCAACAUAGGAAAAUAUUCCCUUUUCUUAUAUUCCAUGAUUAACCUAAUUCUAGUAUUUAUUGGUACUAUGCAUUAUACUUACAACUUACAAGGACAAGCUUUUCAUGGUUGUACUAUACAUUGAUCUGAUGGUAAAUCUUGUUUUGGAUCUUUUACCUGAUGGUGAACUCCGGUAAGGUUUCUCCACAGGCGUUGUUUGUAACUACAAAGGAUAAUGAUAUAAACGGGACUUAAACUGAGAUACCACCUUUCAAUGACUGUAUAAGCUGAAGUAGCUGACAUCAGUAAUACUUCUAUAUUUAUAUUCCUAA